UUAGUACGCCCUCCGUCCGGAAUUACUUGUCGCAGAAAUGGAUAGAAAUGGAUGCAUUUAGAUGUAUUUUAGUUCUAGAUUCAUCCAUUUCCAUGACAAGUAAUUCGGGACGGAUGGAGUAUUAU
rfam:Hordeum vulgare subsp. vulgare, WGS project CAJW01000000 data, contig: morex_contig_36907